GCAAAGACACUGAUUGGAGACGACUAACAACACUUUUGAUUGUGUAGCUUAAAACAAGCGUGUGAUGCAACCCUAUAUCCUGUCGAAUGAUUUGUGCAAUCUUGGACUAAAUCAAGAAAUGGGGGAAGCACCAAUUCCUCUUCCAAAGGCGUUUCUAUGGAGAUACAUCAAGAUGUCUCCUUUGUCCUAAUGGAUAGCUACGAUUCUGGUGAUGGCAGAGCGCUCUUUAUUAAAGACCGGAAAACUGAUGCUGAAAAAGGGAACCCUCUAAACUUGAGAGAAUUGUACUAGAAGAAAUGCCACCAUUGUUUUAAAUAUCUAGACACACAUUUAAAAUGUUCUAAGAAUACAAAGUUUGUUUAUGUCUACUUAUCUCUUGGCUU